AUCGAAAUGAUGAUGGAUUUAGUAACAAAGAUGAACUUAUUCUGGACAUAUUCUCAAAGUGUGUUAGACCAUUUGGAGAUGGAAACUAUGAUACCAUACCAAAGAAAGAUUUUGAUAUGGCUCGGUGGUAUGUGUUGAAUAAUUGCGAAGAAGUAGAACCUUUUCUUCGGGAGCAUAAAGAAGAGUUGAUGAAGCAAGUUGUUGUGAAUAUAGAAGAGAAACAUAGAGAACAACUUCCUUUAUGGUUCAAAAGGAAAGUACCAUAUUCAAAGACGCGAUGAACUACGUAAAAGUCAAAAUUGCGGUCUAGUUGUUGAAGGCUAUCAUGAAAAUGAGGUGAUUUAUUUUUAUGGUAUUAUAACUGACAUGAUUGAGUUAGAGUAUCUUAAUGGCAAUCCAGUUCUGUUAUUUAAAUGCA